rnacentral:rRNA from 1 species
UAUCUCUGUAGAGUCUGCAUAUCAAUAAGCGGAGGAAAAGAAACUAACAUAGGAUUCCCUCAGUAACGGCGAGUGAAGCGGGAAGAGCUCAAAUUUGAAAUCUUCAAGGUUUUACCUUGACGAAUUGUAGUUUAAAGAAGUGUUUUCUGUUGAAGUUUUGGUAAAAGUUCUUUGGAAAUAGGACAUCAUAGAGGGUGAGAAUCCCGUAUUUGACCAUUAUUUUCCACUGUGUGAUACACUCUCAAAGAGUCGGAUUGUUUGGGAAUGCAGUCCAAAAUGGGUGGUAAAUUUCAUCUAAAGCUAAAUACUGGCGAGAGACCGAUAGCGAACAAGUACCGUGAGGGAAAGAUGAAAAGAACUUUGAAAAGAGAGUUAAACAGUACGUGAAAUUGUCAAAAGGGAAGCGUUUGACACCAGUGUUGUUUUCUCGAAAAUCAAUUAAAAAAGGAUUGGGAUUUUGUGUUGUACUGACCUUUAAUCAGCUUUCUUCACUCUUUUCUUGUCUUUUUUAAUGCACUUUUCGUUUAACAAGUCAACAUCAGUUUCUUUUGUUGUAAAAGGGUCAUUGGAAGGUGGCUUUCUUUUCGGAGAAAGUGUUUAUAGCCUUUGCUCUCUGCAAUCGGAGAGACUUGAGGUCUGCAGCGUAGACUCCUUCGGGGUUAGAUACAUUUGUGCUAAGUUAUAGCCUUUCUAUAGACAACUUGUUGACUAUGAUCAGUCAUGUAGCUUACUCGCUUAUGCUAUUUUACCUACGCUUAGGAUGUUGAUGUGAUACUGCGAGCA